rnacentral:rRNA from 1 species
UACGGGGGGAGCAAGCGUUGUUCGGAUUUACUGGGCGUAAAGGGCGCGUAGGCGGCCACGACAAGUCAGUUGUGAAAUCUCUGGGCUUAACUCAGAGCGGUCAACUGAUACUGUCGGGCUAGAGUGCAGAAGGGGCAACUGGAAUUCUCGGUGUAGCGGUGAAAUGCGUAGAUAUCGAGAGGAACACCUGCGGCGAAGGCGGGUUGCUGGGCUGACACUGACGCUGAGGCGCGAAAGCUAGGGGAGCGAACAGG